GAAAAGCUGCCUGCAAGGGAGUCUGGAAAAUGUAGAAAAAUGUAGACCUUGAGCUGCCCGUAUUGCCUGCUUAAACGAAGUCAGGCUUCUCUUCACAGAUCAUGGCUUUUGGCGAACUGUGAGCCUAGGAAAAUGAGACAGCCUGCACACAGUCUAUGAAUGGAAAAUGAGUAAAUGCUGGCUAAGUGCCUAGAUCUAUAGUAUCUCCAAUUUCACCAAAAGAUAGACGCUUGACCUGUUUCUAAGCUCAGGUGAGGCAACUGCAAAUUCACUAUUUGGCAAUAAGAAGAGAAAAAAGUUAAAAUCUUCCCAAAUAAGAUUUGGAAAGCUUGCAUACCAAAAUUCUAAAUCCUACCAAAAAAAAAAAAAAAAAA